rnacentral:rRNA from 1 species
UACGUAGGGGGCGAGCGUUAUCCGGAAUUACUGGGCGUAAAGCGCACGCAGGCGGUUCGCCAAGUUUGGAGUGACAGUUGUCGGCUCAACCGACAAAGGACUUCAAAAACUGGUGAACUUGAGGACGAGAGGGGAACAUGGAACUCCAGGUGUAGUAGUGAAAUGCGUAGAUAUCUGGAAGAACACCAAUGGCGAAGGCAAUGUUCUGGCUCGUUUCUGACGCUCAGGUGCGAAAGCCAGGGGAGCGAACGGG